UGGGGAAUAUUGCACAAUGGGCGCAAGCCUGAUGCAGCAACGCCGCGUGAGUGAUGAAGGCCUUCGGGUCGUAAAACUCUGUCCUAUGGGAAGAAACCAAUGACGGUACCAUAGGAGGAAGCCCCGGCUAACUACGUGCCAGCAGCCGCGGUAAUACGUAGGGGGCAAGCGUUAUCCGGAAUCACUGGGCGUAAAGGGUGCGUAGGCGGUCCAUCAAGCCAGGGGUGAAAGGCAUUGGCUCAACCAAUGUAAGCCUUUGGAACUGAAGGACUUGAGUGCAGGAGAGGUAAGUGGAAUUCCUAGUGUAGAGGUGAAAUUCGUAGAUAUUAGGAGGAACACCAGUGGCGAAGGCGACUUACUGGACUGUAACUGACGCUGAGGCACGAAAGCGUGGGGAGCGAACAGG
rnacentral:rRNA from 1 species